UGCUGUUGCAGGAGGCCCUGGGAGCAGUGCCGGGCCCCCACCUCCCAGUGCGGAGGCUGCUGAGCCAGAGGCCAGACUGGCGGAGGUCACUGAGUCCUCCAAUCAGGACGCACUUUCCGGCUCCAGUGACCUGCUCGAACUUCUGCUGCAAGAGGACUCGCGCUCCGGCACAGGCUCCGCAGCCUCGGGCUCCUUGGGCUCUGGCUUGGGCUCUGGGUCUGGUUCAGGCUCCCAUGAAGGGGGCAGCACCUCAGCCAGCAUCACUCGUGAGUACCCCGCCUCCAGCAUCUCCCAGGGUAGGGCAGUGAUUGGGGAGCCGGGAGCCCAGGCCCCGUCUUGGCGGAGCUUCCUAAGGCCACUGGGAUGG
rnacentral:lncRNA from 10 species